rnacentral:ncRNA from 1 species
GGUGCCAGCAGCCGCGGUAAUUCCAGCUCCCAAAAGUAUAUAUUUAAGUUGUUGCGGUUAAAUAGCUCGUAGUUGGAUUUUGGGCGCAGGCGGCCGGUCCGUCGCAAGGCGUGUACUGGACGUCCUGGCCUUCCCUCCGGUUCUCCGCCGGUGCUCUUGACUGAGUGUCGGCGGCGGCCGGAACGUUUACUUUGAAAAAAUUAGAGUGUUCAAAGCAGGCUCUCGAGCCUGGAUAAUGGUGCAUGGAAUAAUGGAAUAGGACCUCGGUUCUAUUUUGUUGGUUUUCGGAGCGCGAGGUAAUGAUUAAGAGGGACAGACGGGGGCAUUCGUACUGUGCCGUUAGAGGUGAAAUUCUUGGAUCGGCGCAAGACGAACGACUGCGAAAGCAUUUGCCAAGAAUGUUUUCUUUAAUCAAGAGCGAAAGUCAGAGGUUCGAAGACGAUCAGAUACCGUCCUAGUUCUGACUAUAAACGAUGCCAACUAGCGAUCGGGGGGCGUUACAUUGACGACCCCUCCGGCAGCUUACGGGAAACCAAAGUCUUUGGGUUCCGGGGGAAGUAUGGUUGCAAAGCUGAAACUUAAAGGAAUUGACGGAAGGGCACCACCAGGAGUGGAGCCUGCGGCUUAAUUUGACUCAACACGGGAAAUCUCACCCGGCCCGGACACAGUGAGGAUUGACAGAUUGAGAGCUCUUUCUUGAUUCUGUGGGUGGU